UAUUUGCUUCACUGCUUUCAACUGCCUGUGCUGGAGGCUCAGAAUAAGUCCAUGGGAGGAGGACUUCAGGCACAGCAGCCAGCAAGUCUACUGAACGGAUAAGAUGACAUGCUCGGGAAGGUAACAACAAAACCAGAGGGGAACCUCUCUGGCAUGCAAGUUCAAACACGUCUCUACAACUAUGGCAGAAAAAGAGAGAAACUUAAAAAAAAAAAACAAACUCCUAUUUUUUUUCAUAGCUAUCAGUUUCUUUCAGAGCCUUCCAAAAUUUAAGCCUCCAGAAAAUAUUAAAUACUUGGAGAUCUUACCUAUACACAUGGACAGAUAUGUUCACGUGCUCAUUUUUAAAGGAAGGUGUCAUCUUUGGUUUUGAGUGUUUGUCUGGGUACUAUGUUUAAAAACAGAUGACCAGCUUAGCUACUGACCAUGCUGACCACUGUUUGGAACGACACUGAAUCACAGAAAAACAGCAAAUGGCUCUCUCUUAUAGAGUGUCUGAACUUCAAAGCACAAUUCCUGAGCACAUUUUGCAGAGCACCUUUGUUCACUUUAUCUCUUCUAACUGGUCUGGAUUACAGACAGAAUCAAUACCAGAAGAAAUGAAACAGAUUGUUGAGGAACAGGGAAAUAAACUGCACUGGGCAGCUCUUCUGAUACUCAUGGUGAUAAUACCCACAAUUGGUGGAAAUACCCUUGUUAUUCUGGCUGUUUCACUGGAGAAAAAGCUGCAGUAUGCUACUAAUUACUUUCUAAUGUCCUUGGCGGUGGCUGAUUUGCUGGUUGGAUUGUUUGUGAUGCCAAUUGCCCUCUUGACAAUAAUGUUUGAGGCUAUGUGGCCCCUCCCACUUGUUCUAUGUCCUGCCUGGUUAUUUCUUGACGUUCUCUUUUCAACUGCAUCCAUCAUGCAUCUCUGUGCCAUUUCAGUGGAUCGUUACAUAGCCAUCAAAAAGCCAAUCCAGGCCAAUCAAUGUAACUCACGGGCUACUGCAUUCAUCAAGAUUACAGUGGUGUGGUUAAUUUCAAUAGGCAUUGCUAUUCCUGUCCCUGUUAAAGGGAUAGAGACUGAUGUGGAUAACCCAAACAAUAUCACUUGUGUGCUGACAAAGGAACGUUUUGGCAAUUUCAUGCUCUUUGGCUCACUGGCUGCCUUCUUUACACCUCUUGCGAUUAUGAUUGUCACCUACUUUCUCACUAUCCAUGCUUUACAGAAGAAGGCUUACUUGGUCAAAACCAAGCCACCUCAACGCCUAACAUGGUUGACCGUGUCUACAGUUUUCCAAAGGGAUGAAACACCUUGCUCAUCACCUGAAAAGGUGGCAAUGCUGGAUGGUUCUCGGAAGGACAAGGCUCUGCCCAACUCAAGUAAUGAAACACUUAUGCGAAGAAUGUCUACAAUUGGAAAAAAGUCAGUGCAGACCAUUUCCAAUGAACAGAGAGCCUCAAAAGUCCUAGGGAUUGUGUUUUUCCUCUUUUUGCUUAUGUGGUGUCCCUUCUUUAUUACAAAUAUAACUUUAGUUUUAUGUGAUUCCUGUAACCAAACUACUCUCCAAAUGCUCCUGGAGAUAUUUGUGUGGAUAGGCUAUGUUUCCUCAGGAGUGAAUCCUUUGGUCUACACCCUCUUCAACAAGACAUUUCGGGAUGCAUUUGGCCGAUAUAUCACCUGCAAUUACCGGGCCACAAAAUCAGUAAAAACUCUUAGAAAACACUCUGGUAAAAUCUACUUCCGGAAUCCAAUGGCAGAGAACUCUAAAUUUUUUAAGAAACAUGGAAUUCGAAAUGGAAUUAAUCCUGCCUUGUACCAGAGUCCAAUGAGGCUCCGAAGUUCAACCAUUCAGUCUUCAUCAAUCAUACUACUAGACACACUUCUCCUCACUGAAAAUGAAGGUGACAAAACUGAAGAGCAAGUUAGUUAUGUAUAGUAGAACUGGCACAGUUGUCAUCAAACACGAUGAGUAAGAUGAUGAAUGAGAUGUAAAUGCACCAAUAAUAUAUUAUAUAAAGAAUUUUAUGUCAUAUAUCAAAUCAUCUCUUUAACCUAAGAGUUAAGUAUUAAGAAUAUCCAAAUAUCCACUUUUCCUCAUUUGGACAAGAUUAUUCCAUGAGGAAAAUAAUUUUGUAUAGCUACGAAUGAAAACAAUCCAACACUCUGGUUAAAUGUUAAGGUAUUCAAAUGAAAUAAAAUCAAAUUAAUAAAUUACAGGC